rnacentral:rRNA from 1 species
UAGGGAAUCUUCCACAAUGGACGCAAGUCUGAUGGAGCAACGCCGCGUGAGUGAAGAAGGUCUUCGGAUCGUAAAGCUCUGUUGUUGGUGAAGAAGGAUAGAGGCAGUAACUGGUCUUUAUUUGACGGUAAUCAACCAGAAAGUCACGGCUAACUACGUGCCAGCAGCCGCGGUAAUACGUAGGUGGCAAGCGUUGUCCGGAUUUAUUGGGCGUAAAGCGAGCGCAGGCGGAAUGAUAAGUCUGAUGUGAAAGCCCACGGCUCAACCGUGGAACUGCAUCGGAAACUGUCAUUCUUGAGUGCAGAAGAGGAGAGUGGAACUCCAUGUGUAGCGGUGGAACGCGUAGAUAUAUGGAAGAACACCAGUGGCGAAGGCGGCUCUCUGGUCUGCAACUGACGCUGAGGCUCGAAAGCAUGGGUAGCGAACAGGAUUAGAUACCCUGGUAGUCCAUGCCGUAAACG